UGCUCCCAGAAAAGACCCGCAUCACAGGCCAAGGCCAGUGUGCUGGGUCUCCAUCCAGAAGACAGAAAUGCAGAUGCUGUGGUCCCUCCUCUGCCUGCUGGCAGCUCCCCUGGGUGUCCUAUCUGAACUUACACUUCAGGAGUCCGGCCCAGGACUGGUGAAGCCUUCACAAUCCCUCUCUCUCACCUGCAUUGUCUCCGGAGGCUCCGUUACCAGCAGUUACUACUGGAACUGGAUCCGCCAGCGCCCUGGGAGAGGGUUGGAGUGGCUGGGGUACUGGUCAGGUGGCACCAGCUACAACCCGGCUUUCCAGGGCCGCAUCUCCAUCACUGCUGACACAGCCCAGAACCAGUUCUCCCUGCGGCUGAGCUCCAUGGCCACCGAGGACACGGCCGUGUAUUACUGUGCCAGAAGCACACGGGGCCCGUGUCAAUGUGACUAUUUUGACUACUGGGGCCGAGGAGUCCUGGUGACGGUGUCCUCAGAGUCCAAAACCAGCCCCCGUGUCUUCCCGCUGAGCCUCAGGACCAGUGACCCAGCCGGGCAAGUGGUCAUUGCCUGCCUGGUGCGAGGGUUCUUCCCGCCGGAGCCCGUGAAAGUGACUUGGAGCCCCAGCAAGGAAGGCGCGUCCAUCCGGAACUUCCCCGCAGUGAAGUCUGCUUCCGGGAACCUGUACACCAUGAGCAGCCAGAUGACCCUGCCGGCUAGCCAGUGCCCCGAUGGCACGUCCCUGCAAUGCCGCGUGGAGCACUAUUCCAGCACCAGCCCGGCCGUGUCUGUGCCCUGCAGAGUUGAACCCCCUCCUCUGUGUUCCCCGUGCAAUGAACCCCACCUGUCACUACACAAGCCCGCCCUCGAGGACCUGCUUCUGGGCUCCAAUGCCAGCAUCACGUGCACACUGAGCGGCCUGAACAACCCCAAGGGUGCCCUGUUCUCCUGGACACCCUCAGGGGGGAAGGAGGCCAUCCAGAAGCCCCCAGAGCGUGACUCCUGCGGCUGCUACAGUGUGUCCAGUGUCCUUCCAGGCUGCGCUGAGCCAUGGAACCGCGGGGAGAACUUCUCCUGCACUGCCACCCAUCCCGAGCUCAAAACGCCAAAAACUGACACCAUCUCCAAAGUCCUAGAGAACACUUUCCGGCCCCAGGUCCACCUGCUGCCGCCGCCGUCGGAAGAGCUGGCCCUCAAUGAGCUGGUGUCGCUGACGUGCCUCGUGCGAGGCUUCAGCCCCGAGGACGUGCUGGUACGAUGGCUGCAAGGAUCCCAGGAGCUGUCCCGGGAGAAGUACCUGACCUGGGGCCCCCUGCGGGAGCCCGACCAGAGCGUCCCCACCUUCGCCACGACCAGCGUGCUGCGAGUGUCGGCCGAGGACUGGAAGCAGGGGGAGAAGUUCUCCUGCAUGGUGGGUCACGAGGCCCUGCCCCUGGCCUUCACCCAGAAGACCAUCGACCGCCUGGCGGGUAAACCCACCCACGUCAACGUGUCUGUGGUCAUGUCGGAUGUGGAAGGCGUCUGCUACUGAACUGCCCACCUGCCCCUCCCUGAAUAAACUCCGUACUGGCCCAAAGCA